GGUUUCAUGGCGCAGUUGGUUAGCGCGUCUCCUUAACAAUCAGUCAUUCGCUUGUUAAGUUCGGAGGAGGUCGCCGGUUCGAACCCGGCUGAAAUCA
rnacentral:tRNA from 1 species